rnacentral:rRNA from 1 species
UAAAUUGACUUAGCGGCGGACGGGUGAGUAACGCGUGGGUAACCUGCCUUACACUGGGGGAUAACAGUUAGAAAUGACUGCUAAUACCGCAUAAGCGCACAGGGCCGCAUGGUCUGGUGUGAAAAACUCCGGUGGUGUAAGAUGGACCCGCGUCUGAUUAGGUAGUUGGUGGGGUAACGGCCCACCAAGCCGACGAUCAGUAGCCGACCUGAGAGGGUGACCGGCCACAUUGGGACUGAGACACGGCCCAAACUCCUACGGGAGGAAGCAUG